rnacentral:rRNA from 1 species
CGUGGGUAACCUGCCCAAGAGAUCGGGAUAACACCUGGAAACAGAUGCUAAUACCGGAUAACAACAGAUGAUGCCUAUCAACUGUUUAAAAGAUGGUUCUGCUAUCACUCUUGGAUGGACCUGCGGUGCAUUAGCUAGUUGGUAGGGUAACGGCCUACCAAGGCGAUGAUGCGUAGCCGAGUUGAGAGACUGAUCGGCCACAUUGGGACUGAGACACGGCCCAAACUCCUACGGGAGGCAGCAGGA